rnacentral:misc_RNA from 1 species
AAAAAAAAAAAGAAAGAAAAAGGGUUCGUUCGCUUUUCUUUGUUUCAUUUUUUUAUUAAUUACAAAAACAAAAUUCAAAAUUGAAGGAAAAAAGAAUCAAAUGUGAUAAGGUUGGUCGUUACAUGGCCCACCAAUUGAUUAAAGGAAAGAAGAAUUGUUUUCUUCUUUAAGCUGGUCAUUACUAUAAUGGCCUAUUUGGUUUAGCUGUUAGUUACACCUGAUAGUUGUUAACUGAUAGCUAUUACUAUUAGCUGAUAACUGGAAGCUGAUGAUAGCUGAUUUAUGUUUAGCAUUGGGUAAAACUAUAUUUAGCUA